CCUACGGGAGGCAGCAGUGAGGAAUAUUGGUAAAUGGACGAGAGUCUGAACCAGCCAAGUAGCGUGAAGGAUGACUGCCCUAUGGGUUGUAAACUUCUUUUAUAUGGGAAUAAAAUGUUCCACGUGUGGGAUUUUGUAUGUACCAUAUGAAUAAGGAUCGGCUAACUCCGUGCCAGCAGCCGCGGUAAUACGGAGGAUCCGAGCGUUAUCCGGAUUUAUUGGGUUUAAAGGGAGCGUAGGUGGAUUGUUAAGUCAGUUGUGAAAGUUUGCGGCUCAACCGUAAAAUUGCAGUUGAAACUGGCAGGCUUGAGUACAGUAGAGGUGGGCGGAAUUCGUGGUGUAGCGGUGAAAUGCUUAGAUAUCACGAAGAACUCCGAUUGCGAAGGCAGCUCACUGGACUGCAACUGACACUGAGGCUCGAAAGUGUGGGUAUCAAACAGGAUUAGAUACCCCAGUAGUC
rnacentral:rRNA from 1 species